CCACUCUCUGGCUGGCUUUCUUCUUCCCUCCUCGGAUGACUUUGGAACUCUGCAUAUACAAAAGACCUGGACAUUUGCUUUUGAAAAGUCAUACGACACGAAAAAAUGGCAGGAGAAGAGGCCGAAUGCUAGCAAACAAAUGUUCUGUCCAAAUACCCUGUAAACAAAUAACACGAAACAAGGCUCAGAGUAAAGCAUUGGACCACUGACUGAAACACAGUGUGGACAGUCGGUUUGAGCAUCCCAUGAUGGUGCCUGACCCUGAUCUUGGCACAAACACUUCCUACCUGUCCCAGCCUCUUCAGCCUUCCCUUGAAACCACCAUAAAACCAUCAAAAGCAGAGGGCCUUGCCAGGAAAAACCAUGCUGUGUCCAAGAUCCUAGCUCAG